rnacentral:lncRNA from 1 species
GAGGAAGCUUGGAUAUUGAUGGCUUAGGAGUGCAGGUCGACUGGUAUUUCUCAACAAUUUGGUCAACAUCAAUGUUCUUAAAGGCAACCAGAAGCAGGACGGAAACAAAGAGAGAGAAAUCAGCAUCUACAUGGAUCUAAGCAGUUUGGAUAAACUUGACUAGGUAACGGUUUAUUUUUAAGAAAAAGCAACAAAGCAGCCACACCAACUACNGACAAAAGAACAUAAUUAGAGAUUGAAUAAAAUGGCUAAACAUCCUCUUCAGUUUCCACUUCACAAAAGAAUUGUGCAAACUACUACCUUCAAGUUGGAAUAACCAACAUACAUUCANCGGCAAACUAGUAGUAAAAGACUGAAAGUUAAACUAACUGAUACAAAAUUAUGUAUGACUGCAACUAAUAACUAUGGUAAGCCCUUUGAUUUUAUAUCAGUUCAUUCAAAAGCAAUAAAAUCAAGCAAGUGGCAACAAAUUGUUGGCAAUUCUAACUUGCAAGCCUAGUGAGACCCAAAUGAAUUUGACUCAUUUAAAUUAAUCAAUGCGUACUAAAUUACCUCAAGUAUGUUAUCAUCAUCAAUAUCUCCAGACAUGCAGUUAGAAGACUCGUUGAUUUGGCCUGUGCACUUAUUAUGAUUGUUCAAUGAACCAUCCAAACCCCAAGAAGUAUUUCUGCUAACAACUGGAAUGUCAGUGACAUCAGGACACAUACGGUUGUCAUUCUGAUAGCCUCCAUGGAUUGAUGCUGUUCUCGUAUUCUCAUGACUCUGCCAAUUAACAUUGACAUUUUUUCCAGGUUGUACAUAGUUCCUACUAGAAUUUUGUAGACUUGAAAGAGCAUCCCAAGCCUGUNNNNN